rnacentral:rRNA from 1 species
GAACGGGUGAGUAACGCGUAGGUAACUUGCCUAUCAGUCUGGGAUAACACUGCUAACGCGGUGCUAAUACCGGGUAUACUGCAUAGAUCGCAUGUUUUUUGCAGGAAAGCGGGCCUCUGGAACAAGCUCGUGCUGAUAGAUAGACCUGCGUUCCAUUAGUUAGUUGGUAGGGUAACGGCCUACCAAGGCAGCGAUGGGUAGCCGGCCUGAGAGGGUGACCGGCCACACUGGGACUGAGAUACGGCCCAGACUCCUACGGGAGGCAGCAGUGAGGAAUAUUGCGCAAUGGACGAAAGUCUGACGCAGCAACGCCGCGUGAGGGAUGAAGCUUUUCGGAGUGUAAACCUCUGUUAGGAGGGAAGAACGUCUAUUAUUCGAACAGGGUGAUAGAGUGACGGUACCUCCAGAGAAAGCCCCGGCUAACUCCGUGCCAGCAGCCGCGGUAAUACGGGGGGGGCGAACGUUGUCCGGAAUUAUUGGGCGUAAAGGGCGCGUAGGCGGGAAGGUCAGUCAGAGGUGAAAGCUUGUGGCUUAACUGCAAGUUUGCCUUUGAUACUGCCAUUCUUGAGUUCGGAAGAGGGAAGUGGAAUUCCUGGUGUAGCGGUGAAAUGCGUAGAUAUCAGGAAGAACACCGGUGGCGAAGGCGGCUUCCUGGUCCGAUACUGACGCUGAUGCGCGAAAGCGUGGGGAGCAAACAGGAUUAGAUAUCCUGGUAGUGCACGCUGUAAACGAUGGGUACUAGGUGUUGGGUUUAAUUACUCAGCGCCGGAGCUAACGCAUUAAGUACCCCGCCUGGGGAGUACGAUCGCAAGAUUGAAACUCAAAGGAAUUGACGGGGGCCCGCACAAGCGGUGGAGCAUGUGGUUUAAUUCGAUGCAACGCGAAGAUCCUUGCCUGGGCUUGAACUGUAGGUGACGUAUCCUGAAAGGGAUAUUCUCUUCGGAGCACCUAUAGAGGUGCUGCAUGGCUGUCGUCAGCUCGUGCCGUGAGGUGUUGGGUUAAGUCCCGCAACGAGCGCAACCCCUGUUCCUAGUUGCCAGCAUUUAAGGUGGGAACUCUAGGGAGACUGCCCCGGACAACGGGGAGGAAGGUGGGGAUGACGUCAAAUCAUCAUGGCUCUUACGUCCAGGGCUAGACGCGUGCUACAAUGGUCGGUACAGAAGGAUGCCAAGUCGCGAGACCGAGCUUAUCCAUUAAAA